rnacentral:rRNA from 1 species
CCUACGGGGGGCAGCAGUCGAGAAUCAUUCACAAUGGGGGAAACCCUGAUGGUGCGACGCCGCGUGGGGGAAUGAAGGUCUUCGGAUUGUAAACCCCUGUCAUGUGGGAGCAAAUUAAAAAGAUAGUACCACAAGAGGAAGAGACGGCUAACUCUGUGCCAGCAGCCGCGGUAAUACAGAGGUCUCAAGCGUUGUUCGGAAUCACUGGGCGUAAGGCGUGCGGAGGCUGGUUCGUAAGUCGGGUGUGAAAGGCGCGGGCUCAACCCGCGGACGGCACAUGAUACUGCGAGACUAGAGUAAUGGAGGGGGAACCGGAAUGCUCGGUGUAGCAGUGAAAUGCGUAGAUAUCGAGAGGAACACUCGUGGCGAAGGCGGGUUCCUGGACAUUAACUGACGCUGAGGCACGAAGGCCAGGGGAGCGAAAGGGAUUAGAUACCCCAGUAGUC